rnacentral:rRNA from 1 species
GUCUAUGACCACACCACCCUGAAUGUGCAUGAUCUCUUCUGAUCUCAGAAGCUAAGCAGGGUUUGGCUUGGUUAGUACUUGGUGGGGAGACACCUGCUUCAGACC